UAGGGUUUGAUCCUGGCUCAGAUUGAACGCUGGCGGCAGGCUUAACACAUGCAAGUCGAACGGUAGCAGGAGAAAGCUUGCUUUCUUGCUGACGAGUGGCGGACGGGUGAGUAAUGCUUGGGAAUCUGGCUUAUGGAGGGGGAUAACGACGGGAAACUGUCGCUAAUACCGCGUAUUAUCGGAAGAUGAAAGUGCGGGACUGAGAGGCCGCAUGCCAUAGGAUGAGCCCAAGUGGGAUUAGGUAGUUGGUGGGGUAAAUGCCUACCAAGCCUGCGAUCUCUAGCUGGUCUGAGAGGAUGACCAGCCACACUGGAACUGAGACACGGUCCAGACUCCUACGGGAGGCAGCAGUGGGGAAUAUUGCGCAAUGGGGGGAACCCUGACGCAGCCAUGCCGCGUGAAUGAAGAAGGCCUUCGGGUUGUAAAGUUCUUUCGGUAUUGAGGAAGGUUGAUGUGUUAAUAGCACAUCAAAUUGACGUUAAAUACAGAAGAAGCACCGGCUAACUCCGUGCCAGCAGCCGCGGUAAUACGGAGGGUGCGAGCGUUAAUCGGAAUAACUGGGCGUAAAGGGCACGCAGGCGGUUAUUUAAGUGAGGUGUGAAAGCCCCGGGCUUAACCUGGGAAUUGCAUUUCAGACUGGGUAACUAGAGUACUUUAGGGAGGGGUAGAAUUCCACGUGUAGCGGUGAAAUGCGUAGAGAUGUGGAGGAAUACCGAARGCGAAGGCAGCCCCUUGGGAAUGUACUGACGCUCAUGUGCGAAAGCGUGGGGAGCAAACAGGAUUAGAUACCCUGGUAGUCCACGCUGUAAACGCUGUCGAUUUGGGGGUUGGGGUUUAACUCUGGCGCCCGUAGCUAACGUGAUAAAUCGACCGCCUGGGGAGUACGGCCGCAAGGUUAAAACUCAAAGGAAUUGACGGG
rnacentral:rRNA from 1 species